GAAGAUCCGAACGUAGAAGUCGAUGUGGUCGGUUUAUUGAUCCCUGUGCAACGUGCACUGGCUCCUGUCAGUCAGGGAACGUCCAGGAGGGAUAAGCUUCCUCCUUAUCGGAAGUGAUUAGGAAAGUAAUCAAGCUGAGAUGAGGCCAUACUGAAUGAGGGUGGCGCCCUAAGUCCAAUCGCUGGUGUCCUUGUAAGAAGAGGUCAACUGAGACACACAGGGAGAAUGCCAAGUGGUGACUGAGGCAGAACUUGGCGUGACGUGUCUACAAGCCAAGGACCGGCCAAGGAUUGCAACCACACCAGAAACUGGAGGAGGCCAGGAAGAUCCUCCUAGAACCUUCAGAGAGAGCAUGGUCCCGCGGCCACCUCCAUUUGGGAUUUCUAGCCUCAGGCCCUGAGAGAAUGAAUUUCUGCUGAUCAAGCCGACCAGUGUGUGGUGCUCUGUCACAGCAGCCCUGGGUCACUCAUGACACUAACUAUCUCUGAAGGACAACUGCCAGACACUUAACUUUCACAGUGUUUUUGUUCUUGUUGUUGAGACAGAGUCUCACUCUGUUGCCCGGGCUACAGUGCCGUGGCAUCACAGCAACCUCG